rnacentral:rRNA from 1 species
GAUGAACGCUGACAGAAUGCUUAACACAUGCAAGUCUACUUGAACUUCGGUUUGGGUGGCGGACGGGUGAGUAACGCGUAAAGAACUUGCCUCACAGAUAGGGACAACAUUUGGAAACGAAUGCUAAUACCUGAUAUUAUGAUUUUAGGGCAUCCUAGAAUUAUGAAAGCUAUAUGCACUGUGAGAGAGCUUUGCGUCCCAUUAGCUAGUUGGAGAGGUAACGGCUCACCAAGGCGAUGAUGGGUAGCCGGCCUGAGAGGGUGAUCGGCCACAAGGGGACUGGGACACGGCCCUUACCCCGACGGGGGGCAGCAGUGGGGAAUAUUGGACAAUGGACCAAGAGUCUGAUCCAGCAAUUCUGUGUGCACGAUGAAGUUUUUCGGAAUGUAAAGUGCUUUCAGUUGGGAAGAAAAAAAUGACGGUACCAACAGAAGAAGUGACGGCUAAAUACGUG